AAUUAUGAUUGAGUUUGUUGUUAUUGUGAA
rnacentral:guide_RNA from 1 species